UCUUACUCUGCAACUAACUGGAAAUCUAAAAAGUUUGUUUUUUUCUUUUCAACCGGAAAUUUAGCGCCAAAUUUCUCCCUAAAAUUUUAGUGAAAUCAAAUUCCCUCCUAAAAUAUUUGUGAAAACUAAAUUUCACACUAAAACCCCACAAAGAACGCCCACACACCCAAACUUUUCGCAUCUCAUCAAAUAAAACACUUUCAGUUUUCUCUCUCUCAAAAAUAAAAAAAAAAAUCUCGAUCGAAACCCUAGAAAACGACUCACAUCUUCUUCUCAAAAUUAUCUUCCCAACUUAAAUAAAAACUCAUUCGCUCUAACUUAUACAGUCUUGAUUCACACACACAAAGACUCGAAAUCCGUAAUUUUCUAUUGCAGAAAUCAAAAGAAUUUUUGUCCAGAGAUCUAUGCAUCACUUCGGAUUUAUUUGGGGGCUUUUGGUUUUCGUCACGCGAGACUAAUAACAGGUUUUUUCUUUCUUUUUGAAGAUGCAAUUUAAAGAAGAGUAUGCUUCUGAUCCCUAUUUUUCUUAUUUUAUAGGCCUUCCGGGAUUUAGGUAGGAUUUUUCUGUAUUUGGUUCUCAUGUUUAAUUGAAUCUGAUUAUUGUUUUGUUAGAAUCGGGUUUGGUUCUAAUGUUCACUUGUACAAUAGGUAUUUGUGUGGUAUAUAUUUAGUCCAAAUCAUUGUGAAUGUAUGGAACCAAAUUGACCAUUACUAUGGUACUUCAAGCAAAAAAAGGGAGAUGUUACCUUGAAUUUAAAGUAUAAUCAAAAUAAAUAAACAAUUUCUUUACUACUGCAUAAAUGUGGUUUGACUAUGAACUAUUAAGCACUCUACCCUUUCACUUAUGUUUUAGUUUUGUUUUGAAAAUUGUUUUUUGUAUACCGGUUUAAAUUGAUUGCUUUUAUCCACAUCGAAAGCAAAGCAUCAGAUUCGUUUGACGAACGUAGUCAUAUAAGAACUAUUAUUACCCAUCGUAUCUAGUCAUACAAGAACUAUUAUUACCUCAUAUCUAAGCAUAUCCUGUUUGCCCGUUAUCUAACUUUCUUGCAACCGUCAGUUAUCUUAUAGAGGAAACUUUGUUGUUUUAUAAAGGCAACAAAAUGGGGAGCAAGGCCAGCACUCUAAUUUCGCAGCUACUUGUAAUAUGUUAAAGUCUUGUUUAAUACUGCUUAGUUUAGAUGUAUUUUUAGCUGUGCACAAAAUGCUUAUAUUUCUCUCUUAGCAGCUGCCAUUCUUAAAAAUAGAAAGGUUCAGGUGAUACCACUCUUGCAUCUUUCGUGGGAAAGAAACAACCUAAGGUAAAAGCUGAUUUGGAUGGAAAACCUAGUAGAGAGAAUCAAGUAUGAUAUUAUGAUGCCAUUGGGUAUUGCUUAAACAGCGACGCCUUUUGGCAAUUUGUAAGCUUAUGAGGCUAACGAUUAAUUAUGGUGAACAUACUCAGCAGAACUUUAUAUUAUGUUUGAUUAUUUAUUUUCCAUUUGAUUUGUCUAUUUAACUUAUAUAUAGACUGAAUGUCAAGUUUUUUGUUCUGUAAAUGAAUGUUAUAAAACAGCUACAGGUCUCUAUUGCUUGUGGAAUAUUUAAGAGGAAGAAAGCUAAAUGCCAAAAAAAACACUAAAAACACAACAACACACAUGUAGAUAAUUUGAUGACCCAAGGUGUGAACCAUAGGGGAGUGGAAGGGAUCAUUGGGAUGGUGAAGAGUAUCGAGUAAGUUCACACAUCUUAUAUUUAUGUGUUUAAGUUCUGGUAAUACAUUCAUGUAUAAUUAAUCCUGACUUGUACAUUUGUAAGAAACUCUCUGACCGAAAUGUCAAGAGUAUGUAUGUGUUUAAGUUUUGGUAAUACACUUAUGUCUUAUUCGUGUAUUUGUAAGAAUCUUUCCGACUGCAAUGUCAAGAGUUGAAGCCAACAAAAAGCAAAGCACACAAUUGGCAGGAAAAACCACUGUCAAUGCAAAGCUUAAAUGGUACGUACAUGCAUAUGUUGGUCUUUAUGGUUAACCUUCACUCUGCGACCCAAAGUUAUUCACGGUAUUGUUAUUUGGUUUUGGAUUUGUCUGUUUAUGGUCGAGUUAUUUCUUAUAUUGGUGUGUACAGCUAGUAGAGAAGAGUUAGGUUGGGAUACAUGAACCCCGAAACAUAAUUAUACCCUUAAAGUGGUUUCUAUCUGUAACAAUAUUUAAAUGGUAUUUCUUUCGUUUAGCAUGUUUAGCACUUGUGGAUAAUCUAUUUGGCUUAACUGCACACAAUUCCUUGUCAAAAAUGGGAAUACCAUCUAUGCUAGUAGACUGGGGAGAACUGUUUAGCACUUGUUGGUCAUCAUUAUGUAAGUAUCUCUUCCUUGAUUUUUAAUUCAUAUAAUUUGGGCAAUAUCUUAAGCAAAAAUGUGAGAUAACUGUAAGUGGUCAUAAUUGCAUGUAUGUUAGUAUAAUAUUUCUCUGCAUGUUAGUAUGAUACUUUUCUUAGAGUCCAGGAUUCCAUUGGUUUAUUUUGUUGAUGUAAAAUAAUAUUUCCUUAAGACGUUAGAGAUAGAUUUAGUAUUCCAUCUUGAAGAUGUUUUUCUUGUUAGAGCCCAUAUUAUCCAACUUUUUAUGAUAAAUCAAUUAACCCCUUCAAGCUUCCAUUGGACAUGAUUCUGUACAUUUUCUGAUGUUCUUCUUACUUGGUGGUCUUUGUUUUGAUUUAUUUAGCAGGUGCUCGUGUCCUAGGAACAGUGGAUAAAAUGACUCUAGUUUGAAGUAUAAGGUUUCUUUACUUUCGAUCGAUGUUGAUUAAGAUGGGAGAUUGUGUAAAAUAUUUUGUUUCUUUUUUUUACGAUGAAAUGGGGCUCACGACUUUGUAACAAAUACUGUGUUUUUAACGAAAUUAAAUUUCGUUGUUUUAAUCCAAUU